UAAGCCAUGCGAGUCGAGAGGUUCAAGACCUCGGCGUACUGCUCAGUAACACGUGGACAAUCUGCCCUGAAGUGGAGAAUAAUCCCGGGAAACUGGGGGUAAUACUCCAUAGUUCGUUAUUACUGGAAUGUUUUUCGAACGAAAGAUCCGUCGCUUCAGGAUGAGUCUGCGGCCGAUUAGGUAGUUGUUGGGGUAAUUGCCCAACAAGCCUGUAAUCGGUACGGGUUGUGGGAGCAAGAGCCCGGAGAUGGAUUCUGAGACACGAAUCCAGGCCCUACGGGGCGCAGCAGGCGCGAAAACUUUACCAUGCGGGCAACCGUGAUAAGGGAACCUCGAGUGCCUGUAAAUGCAGGCUGUUCAGAUGCCUAAAACACAUCUGGAGAAAGGGCCGGGCAAGACCGGUGCCAGCCGCCGCGGUAAUACCGGCGGCUCGAGUGGUGGCCACUUUUAUUGGGCUUAAAGCGUUCGUAGCUGGGUUGUUAAGUCUCUUGGGAAAUCUGGCGGCUUAACCGUCAGGCGUCUAAGGGAUACUGGCAAUCUUGGAACCGGGAGAGGUGAGGGGUACUUCGGGGGUAGGAGUGAAAUCCUGUAAUCCUCGAGGGACCACCUGUGGCGAAGGCGCCUCACCAGAACGGCUUCGACAGUGAGGGACGAAAGCUGGGGGAGCGAACCGGAUUAGAUACCCGGGUAGUCCCAGCCGUAAACUAUGCGCGUUAGGUGUAUCGGUGACCACGAGUUACCGAGGUGCCGAAGGGAAACCGUGAAACGUGCCGCCUGGGAAGUACGGUCGCAAGGCUGAAACUUAAAGGAAUUGGCGGGGGAGCACCACAACAGGUGGAGCCUGCGGUUUAAUUGGACUCAACGCCGGGAAGCUCACCGGAUAGGACAGCAGAAUGAUUGCCGGGCUGAAGACCCUGCAUGACUAGCUGAGAGGAGGUGCAUGGCCGUCGUCAGUUCGUACUGUGAAGCAUCCUGUUAAGUCAGGCAACGAGCGAGACCCA
rnacentral:rRNA from 1 species